GAUAUCUGUUUGAUUGUCUAACCUAUGGAUAACCGUGGGAAAUCUAGAGCUAAUACAUGCAGUAAAUGGUCGGGCUUGCUCGGCCAAGCAUUUAUUAGUUUUAACCAAUGACUGCGCAAGCAGUAAGGUGAAUCUAGAUAACUUUGCUGAUCGCAUGGCUCUGCCAGCGACGUUUCAAUUGAGUUUCUGCCCUAUCAAUUUGUUGGUAAGGUAUUGGCUUACCAAGGUUGUAACGGGUAACGGGGAAUCAGGGUUCGAUUCCGGAGAGGGAGCUUGAGAAUCGGCUACCACAUCCAAGGAAGGCAGCAGGCGCGCAAAUUACCAAAUCUAGACAGUAGGAGGUGGUGAAGAGAAGUACUAAGUGGUGGUUAUUUACUACCAGCUUGGAAUGGACGUAAUUUAAGCAAUUCGAUGAGUAACUACUGGAGGGCAAGUCCUGGUGCCAGCAGCCGCGGUAAUUCCAGCUCCAGUGGCGUGAUUUAAAGUUGCUGCGUUUAAAACGCUCGUAGUUGGAUCAUGCGGUGACAGCCUGUAGUCUGCGGCUUGCAUUUGGCUGCUUCAGUCGAUGCAGCCGUGGAUUUAAAGCGCAGGCUGUCACUAUUUAAUCGCAAAUAUGUUGGUUGGCCUUUAGUGAGUCGAGCAUCAUAUUUUGCGGAGUUGUGCCUUGAAUAAAACAGAGUGCUCAAAGCAGGCGAACGCUUGAAUGUUGUAGCAUGGAACGAACAAACGUGUAUUGGCACACGUCGUGCGAAGUGGGUGCGCUUCUGGUGCGUCUGCUUUGCUGAUGUGUGUAUCACCCGCCAAAGUACGAUUGUUGGUUAUCGUAUUAGGUGAUGAUUAAAAGGAGCGGUUGGGGGCAUUGGUAUUUGGACGCGAGAGGUGAAAUUCAAAGACCGUCCAAGGACUAACAAAUGCGAAGGCAUCUGUCCAGACCGUAUCCAUUAAUCAAGAACGAAAGUGGGAGGUUCGAAGACGAUUAGAUACCGUCGUAGUUCCCACCGUAAACUAUGCCGACUAGGGAUCAGCUUGGUGAUAUUACAAGCAUCAAGUUGGUCUCCAAGGGAAACCAUAAGUUUUUCGGUUACGGGGAGAGUAUGGUCGCAAGGCUGAAAUUUAAAGGAAUUGACGGAAGGGCACCACCAGGGGUGGAACCUGCGGCUUAAUUUGACUCAACACGGGGAAACUUACAUGGUCCAGACAUCGAUAGGAUAAACAGACUGAUAGAUCUUUUUUGAUGCGGUGAGUGGUGGUGCAUGGCCGUUCCUAGUUCGUGGAGUGAUCUGUCAGGUUUAUUCCGGUAACGAACGAGACUACAACCUUCAUUUAAGAGGCAAAAGCAGGUUAUGCGAGAGGUGCUUCGCGGUGCCUUGUUCGUGUCUCUGUAAGAAGAAUAUGCAAAUUCUCAGAAAGCUGGGCAAACGGGCAACCGGGAGCUCAGUGAUUUGAUGGAGGAGUGUAUUUUCUCUUUUGUCAAGCAGUCAUGGGGCAACCUAUGGCUGACUUAUGGAGGGACUGCUGGUGUUACAAAACCAGAGGAAGUGUGGCGAUAACAGG
rnacentral:rRNA from 1 species